UGGACUCACCACACCUACUAUACAAGGACCCACUUCACCUAAGAUUCUCUGACAAGGACCCUAAAGGAGUUUAGAAGCCAAAUGACUGGGAUCAUCAACUCCAGUGACAGAGCUGCAUGUCUUUUAGCAGUGUUGCAGAAAUGAGCAUGGAGAGGGAAUAGGAAAGGGGAGAGGUGUCUUUGUGGCAACGAGUGACUCUUCUCUAGUUAUCUCCUGGUUGCUGGGUUUUCCCCCCUGCACUUUCUUUUGCAGUUGAAAGGAAGAUGAUUGUUUGAAAAUUAUUAAUAAAUCCUCCUUUUUUCUUCUUCUUCUCUUUUUUACCCUUCCUCCCACCCCCCUUGAUGUGGCCUCUUGUUUAGCUUGUGGCGUGACCAUGAUGAAGAAAUUUUUCUGGGAGCCUGGCAGUGUGAUCUUUUUAUGUAAUGAGUCAGGAUUUUGCCAAGGGAAGAAGCAAGGUUUGAGGAUUGAGUGUCUGUCUCCUUUCAAGAAGAAAACUGACAGGCGAGAUGCACCUUUUUCCCAGGAUCCUUUUUUCCCCUCCCCACCUCACAGGAAUGACAAGUGGUGCAGUAUGUGACUCCCGAUCCACCUUCUAGAGAUGGCAGUCUGGUUUUGUAGAUUGAAUUCAACACAGAGAUGCAAAGUGGGUUCUUUC
rnacentral:lncRNA from 1 species